UUAACACGAUGUGGCGUCGCACGUUCGAAUGAAUAAUCGUAUUUGUCGUUUAAAUUCGGUGACGUCAGUCGAGUUUAAAUUUUUAAAUUCCAUCGAUCUGAUUCGUCGCUUCGUUUAUGAAAUUCGGGGUUACGAGGUUAAGAAAUUCGGGAAGACGAAAUCGUGUAAGCGUGAAUUCACGCCCGAAGUGGUUCCCUUUGUGUUUAACCUCGAGAAUUCCCGAUUUAUAACAAGUUAUUACGAAUCAAUGUCGAUCUCGAAAGUCUUCUUGUUAUUGCUAUCAUCGAAUUAACCGAAUUUUUCAGUGUGUUACUCGCUAGGCCAGCUUCCUUAUCAAUUAAACUACCGAACCAAAUAAUCGAUAAUGCAAGAAGUUGAGCCAAAGUUUUCAAAUAUCUUGCCAAAGUAAAGAAGGGAAUAAAGGAAGAAAGAAAGGGG
rnacentral:lncRNA from 1 species